GUGAGGUUUUUGUUUUUUUCAGUAGCAAAAUGUAAUCUUUAUAACUUUGUCAGUGUUUUUCCGACGUAAACAUAAGAAUAAGAUUAACACCACAGAUUGUCUUAAAAGUUUGCAAAAGUCGUCCGUUUCAGAGAUGAUGCGUCUUCUGUCCACAAGACUGUCGCAAACUGUAGCCUAAUAAGUUGUUCGUUUUCGCGACAAGGCAAAAAGGAGAUGAAAGUUAAACCCGAAGCAGUGCGGUCCAGUCCUCUCUCGCGCGCGUGCCUCCCGAAGCGCCGCGCUCCCGGCGACGCAUACAACACGAGCCGCUCUAUCGAGUCUCCGCUUCCAGUCGGCCGCGGGACACGUGUUUCGGGGAGGCCGCGCGACAGCCAGACGUCUCGGGAUGCCAGGAGCAGCCGACGAGCUCAGCGGCCUCACGCUGAGGCUGAAAUGGGACCCCAGUCACUACGGCCCCGCCGAGUGUGUGUAGAAAAAUCCAAUUUGAACCCCUCCCUCCCGGGACGCACGGCUAAGAUCAAAACAGUGCCAAUGACAGCGUGUCAAAAUGAGGAGGGAAGUCUGUGAAGGCCAUUUAUUCAGCACAGGGCCAGAGAGGAACUGGGCUGUGAUGGGUCCCAGCCUUCAGCCAGCCUCGGUCAUUUCAGAUUCCCUUCACUGAAUCGCUGGGAUCUACACCAAGCAGCCGUAACAGCUCCAAACUGCAGAACAACUCUGAUUCGCCGUCUGAGAUCCAGGCAAGGUGUCGGGAGGCGUCAUCGUCCCACGAUGCCCUGCAGCGUCAGAUCCUGUCUACUCACGCGCAAGACCUGCUCUGCCGCUCCACGUUGGAAGAUCGCCUGUGAACUCCGCCUUGGGGUGGGAGGGGACGGCGUUAAAUGUCACAACGACCCCCAAACGAUGCAGCAUGGUGACGAGCGCUUCAGCAUACACAUCCACGCAGGUAUGAAAAAUGACUCAGCGGCUUUGAGUGGAAGGCAGUGAAGGGAGAAGCACCUGACCUCACGUCGCCUGAGUUUCUUUGGGGAAGUGUGUAAUUUCCAGAUUAGAAAAAAGUGAGUAGCUUUG